rnacentral:ncRNA from 12 species
AAUAUUUUAGGUCUGUGGUUGAAAGUCCAAGCCAGUUGCAGGCAAAAGGAUCCACGUAAGUUAAUCCUAAAAAUGGGAUUAAUGAUCAUGGUGCAGCUUAGAAGUAAGUCCUACCGGUAUCAAAUCGAGAGAGUUAGUAGUGCGGCAAACCCAAGCAAACCCUCCAGUAGGCGAGUGUGGGGUCAAAAACCAGGUCAGCUAAAUAUU